AAUGAACGCUGGCGGCAGGCCUAACACAUGCAAGUCGAACGGGUCCUUCGGGACUAGUGGCGGACGGGUGAGUAACGCGUGGGAACGUACCUUUUGCUUCGGAAUAGCCUCGGGAAACUGGGAGUAAUACCGAAUGUGCCCUACGGGGGAAAGAUUUAUCGGCAAAGAUCGGCCCGCGUUGGAUUAGGUAGUUGGUGGGGUAAUGGCCUACCAAGCCGACGAUCCAUAGCUGGUUUGAGAGGAUGAUCAGCCACACUGGGACUGAGACACGGCCCAGACUCCUACGGGAGGCAGCAGUGGGGAAUCUUAGACAAUGGGCGCAAGCCUGAUCUAGCCAUGCCGCGUGAUCGAUGAAGGCCUUAGGGUUGUAAAGAUCUUUUCGUGGGGGAAGAUAAUGACGGUACCCCAAGAAGAAGCCCCCGGCUAACUCCGUGCCAGCAGCCGCGGU
rnacentral:rRNA from 1 species